rnacentral:rRNA from 1 species
CAGCAGCCGCGGGAAUACGGAGGGUGCAAGCGUUAUCCGGAUUCACUGGGUUUAAAGGGUGCGUAGGCGGAUCUGUAAGUCAGUGGUGAAAUCUCCAGGCUUAACCUGGAAACUGCCGUUGAUACUAUAGGUCUUGAAUUUUGUGGAGGUUAGCGGAAUAUGUCAUGUAGCGGUGAAAUGCAUAGAUAUGACAUAGAACACCAAUUGCGAAGGCAGCCGGCUACACAACUAUUGACGCUGAGGCACGAAAGCGUGGGGAUCAAACAGGAUUAGAGACCCGAGUAGUCCCUGUCUCUUAUAA